rnacentral:rRNA from 1 species
AUUGAACGCUGGCGGCAUGCUUUACACAUGCAAGUCGAACGGUAACAGGCCGCAAGGUGCUGACGAGUGGCGAACGGGUGAGUAAUGCAUCGGAACGUGCCCAGUCGUGGGGGAUAACGCAGCGAAAGCUGCGCUAAUACCGCAUACGAUCUAUGGAUGAAAGCGGGGGACCGUAAGGCCUCGCGCGAUUGGAGCGGCCGAUGUCAGAUUAGGUAGUUGGUGGGGUAAAGGCUCACCAAGCCAACGAUCUGUAGCUGGUCUGAGAGGACGACCAGCCACACUGGGACUGAGACACGGCCCAGACUCCUACGGAGGCAGCAGUGGGGAAUUUUGGACAAUGGGCGCAAGCCUGAUCCAGCAAUGCCGCGUGCAGGAAGAAGGCCUU